GGUAACAGGUGCCCCCCUGGUUCUUGAUGCCGCACAGAUUGCUUCGACCCCUGGGUGGAGGUGGCUCAUCUCCCACCUUUGUAACUCUCCCCCUGGAGGGAUUCGCAGAGAAGUCUUCCUCCUCCUCUUCCUCGAAAAGAUUCCCAAACAUGUCUUCGUAGAUGGUGGAGUUGAUGGCAUACUGGCUUGGGCCGUUUCCUUGGAGUCUGUGUCCGUUUGCAACAACCAAGAAGACUCGACUGCCAAUCUGAAACAUUUCCCAGUCUGUGGCACAGAACGUCUAGAAUGACAGUGAGAGAGGAACCAUCCUUAAGAGAUAUAGAUCUCAUCAGAGGAAAUCAAACUCGAGCUAGGGAGAUGAUGAAUGGCAGGGAAAUCAUGCAGAAAAUGCAACAUAUACCUUAACUGUCUGGAACACCUGAAAGCUCCCGUUGACCCAAACGUAGAUGACAGAGUCGACAGAUGUGGUCACUCCAUCAAAGGCAUUUGCAACCACCAGAAAAUGGUACGGUCCCACUGUGAAAAACUCCCAGUCGUACGCUCCUGAGGUCGGCAGCAUCUGGUGAACCCCAAAGGACUUUGUCAACUUGUUCCAUUUGUAAAUCACGCUGUCUAUAGUGUGAUUGUUAUCACCUAGGAGACAAACCAGGUGGAGCGGGAGUCAACAGGACGUUUUAAUAUUUUUCUGAUUUCAUGCCAGGAAUUUAUGACGUUGAUCGGCAGUUAUUUCAUUGAUGUUUAGUUAUUACCUUUUCUGUGAUUGGCCACAGCAAGAUAAGUUUGCUGGUUGAUGUUAAAGGCCUCCCAGUCCCGAGCACAGUGGGUCUGCAGAGUCAGAAACUGCACAAACUUCUUUCUUCUUUUGCUCCACUUGUAAAUCACAGAGAAGUCAGUCUCUGAUUCUUUGUUAAAAUGCUUGUCCGGCCCUCCUCCAGAGUUAGACACCACUAGGUAUAUCUAAGUUGCAAAACACAUGUAACAUCAGUGCUUCAAACUGUUAAGACCAGAUCAUUUAUUAUACUCCAUCUCUUCCUUUCUGUCAUACCUUUUUUCCAAUGCUGAAUUGUCUCCACGCCAGAGCUUCAUACGUGCUAAUGUUCUGGUAGAGCUGGAAACCUGUGUGAGUCCACAGAUACACAGCAGAUCCGGAGGCUGGUGACCGAUGAGCCAUAGCAGCCAUCAGGCCUGUGCCAGGUACCUGGAACACCUGGAGCGAGAUAGAGAACCAAAAACUAUUAAACAUUGCCCCCUUAUGGACAGCUAUAUUGGUUAGAAAAGGUAACAACAGGAUGUUGAGCAGCACAAGAUCUCAUACAACAUUGUACGAACGUAAGGAACAUUUAUUCUGCUAAUCCAGGAGAGAACGCCGCUGAAGCCAGAUCUGUAAAUAGAGCUGUCAAUCAAAAGAUCACUUCCCCUCUUUCUGGCAUCAAUUAACUAAUUAAAAAAUAAUUUCAACAUUUGAUCGUCAAUAAGAUUGAUAAGAACUAACUGUCAUGAAAGAAAGUGUGUACGAAAAAAGUUUGUUUGGCCCAUGUCCCAUCUGUUAGAAUGGUGGUGGCAGGCUUAAUAACCUUAAUUUCAGCCAAUCACCAGGGGCUUUAAAUAUUUUGGCUUUGCUUCUGAGGAGCUGUCAUGCCAUUCAUCUUUUAUACAGUCUUUUGUUGAAAAAAGAAGUACAGCGGUAUAGACGUCUGUGAGUAGAUAACCAACCCACACCCUUCUGCCUCUAAAAGACCAAGAUGGCAGCCAAAUUUCCAAACUAGAACGCCAACCAGUGGUUGCUGCCACACUGGCCUUUUCAGUACAGUAUGACCACUUGUCCAGCUGAAUUUCUCCUUUUUACUGUAUUGCUAUUAUUUUGUAACCCCUUGAUGGGUUUUAAUACCAAUGAAUGUGUAUUUUUAAACAAGGUUAGGGGAUACCUCUAUGUCAUGUGUCUCUGAGCUGGUGGUGAGGACCUGGUGUUCCAACACAUAGUCCAGUCGUUUAUGAUCUGAGUAGAGAAAUGAGGAUUCUGUCAAUGUCAAACCUAAACUUCUGAUCAACUUGCAACAAGGAGAUGACUGGAAGUUCGAUUCUUACCCUCUAGCACUGCAAUCCACACUGAUCCAUCACAGAGGUAGAGGCCUUUCUUGAGUGGAUUGAACCACAGCUGACCUUGUAACUGCUCUGAGCACGACCGCUGCAGCCCCACAGACACUCGUUCUUCUGUUUCUGAUCACAACACAGACAAGAAGAUGAUCAAAGACAAAAGGAAGCAGAAUGACACACAUAUAUAAAAGCUGAUGUUAUGUUGUGCUUCAUGUUGAAUGAAAUUAAAGUACUUGUCUUCAAGUUACCAUAGGAAGUCACAUGGUUGUCACCUUUACUCUCUAUUACAGGCAGGUCUAAGAGAAGUGGUGGCACCGACAGCUCUGCUAGUUGAGGGUCAGAAGAAGGGCAGACA